GAAAACAAAAGGCAUAUAGAGUGUUCGUUUUAUUUGUUUUUUAGAUCAUACUGCUUGUGAUAAGAAUAUAUAUUGUGAAAGACUAACUUAGUGUAACAAUAUAUUGGUGCGCAACUAAUAAGAUUUGUAUGUUAAAUAAGUAUCUUGGGGGCGGGGGUGUUUCCUAUCCAUUUAUUUAAUAAAUAUGUUUAUGGAGUUCAACAACUAAUAUAUAUAUAUGUUCAUGGUGUGAGAUUAAUCUCUAAAUUCUGUAUAACUUAUUACUGUACUCAAUGGUGUUUGGAAGAUGACUUUCCAUGCAAUAUCACUAAUAAAUGAGUUAACUGGAUCAGAGAUGUGUUAUGGUGGAAACAAAAAUUCAAUGAAGUGGAGUUUACAUGGACCAAUAGAGAGAGCAACAGAGCUGCAGACAAAAUGGCGAAGCAACAAAUUCCUUUUGAUAAUUCUUUCUACUUUCAUUAUUAUGUUCCAGACUCUAUCACGUUGGAUCUCCAUAACGAUUACGUAACCUCUCAUUGAUUAAUAAAGCAGACGUUAUAAAAAAAACAUUAAUAAAUGACUAAGGUAAUAUAAUAACUCAAAACCCGAGCUUGAUAAUUAACGACUACAAAUAAACGUAUGUGGUUACAACUUACAAAAAAGUAUUAAAACUAUACUUGUUUAUGCGUAUAUAUGAUUAAUGGCGCGACUAUGGAUGAAUGGACAACGGCAUAUGGUUUAUUUGGCGUUAUGUGUAGUGGAGCAAGAACAAUUGGGGCUUUUAUAAUAAUAUUAGAUCAAUAAAACAAACUUUUUUUUAUUAAUUUGAGAUUUAAUCAAAAAGGAAAGAGAUAUGGUCCGGUUUAAUUAUAAUAGCAAGUGGUUUUAGUAAAUGCAUAUGGGUUGUUGUCGUUUGUAUUCCAACAUUAGUUGUUGAGAAAGGAUAAUAUCAAAUUAUGAAUAUUUACUACAAAAAAUAGAUAUAUAAAUGAGAAUACGAAAAUAUCUCAUUAUAAAUAAACAAAUCAACCUUUGUCCAAAAAAUGGGAAAUAUAUAUAAAACCCCCGUCUCCAUUACCAACAAGUACAAAAACGGAAUCUAUGCAUCACAUAUUUGUUUUUCCUUCACUAAUUCAAACGAUUAUUGGAAAGGAAACCCGACCAGGCUACUUGAUAAUAGGCCACGGCCCAACAUCUUAGGCCUAAUUCUGAUGGGAUUAAUUGUGGUUUGGAUAACUUAGAUCUGGAUUAGUGUUUGUUUUCCUAGAAUUGAUGGAUUAACGAUGUUACUGCGACAUCGACUGAUCAUUUCAUUGGACUUUCGAGCAUUAUUUAAUCUAUUAUUUUAUGAUCAUAUUAUCUAAAUAGAGAAAAGAGAAAGAGAAAUUGGUUUGUAUUAUUCCAUGAAUAAUAAGUCAUUUAUAUAGGAUUACAAUACCAUGGAGACAAAGUAUAACUUGGAAAACAAGUAGACUUGACAAUCAAGUAAAUCUAAGACUUUUUAUAUGGACAUCACAUAAUAUUCAUAACACUUUCCUUUGAUGUUCAUUAUACCGAAGUGCUUUCAAAACACCGUAGAUGUUGCCUCGUUAAAAACCUUACCACGAAAAUCCAAUGGAAAAAACUAUAGUUAAAAGAAAAAGAGUGCAACGCGUAAUAACUUCCCUUCAUGUGUACAUACGUCGAGAUCUUCGAAGUGACAUAAUCAGCUAAGUUAUCACUUGAACGAACAUGUAUGAAACGAAUAUCACCAUUCUUCUGCAGUACAUGAGUUUUGCUAUGAUUUUGAUAAUUUUCAUCGAUUCUCUUGAUCUCAAAAACUUUAGAAUAUAGAAUUCUAUUACUGGAAUUCUAAUAUUUCCCUUGAGUGUCUAUCAUAUGUGUGCUUUUUGUUGCCUCAUUAAAACUUUGUCAUGGAAAAAUACAGUGGGAUAAAAAACCAUGAUAAGGGAAAAGAGUACAACCACAUAUAUUUCACAUUUCUUUCCCGGAAAGCAAUAUCUUCAGGGUAUGCAUUCCAAUCAGAUAAAUGUACUUUUGAAAUUGAGAAUAUCAUAAUACUCUUUCCAUUAGAGUAUUUAAGGUUUAUAGACUUCUGGUCCACAAUUCUUAUUUGAUAUAGACAAUAUUUUCUUAGUCUAUUUGGAUUUCAAACCAAAUUUCUUACAUACAAUCGUCUUGACAUUCGUCUUGUACAUGCGAGUAACUCAUUCGUAACUAUGAAAGUUACUAUUAUGACUUCCUUUCUUGUCAUAUGAAAUUAUAUCUUUUAAUUAUGAAAAAGAUUAGUAAUUUGCUCAAUAACACUUUAAAUAUGGUACUUCAAGACCAAACAUAUAUUGUAAUCUUUAAUAAAAUCCUUCAAGGAUCUUUAUGAUAACAUCUCAUUUUAGAUCUCCAGUUUAGAAUACAUAAAGACAAUAUGAUAUUGUUAAGAGUUUUCUUCCAAAAUACAACUUUUCUAUAACUCUUCAUGAGUUUUUGAUUAUAUUCAAAUCAGUGACUCUAUUGAUCUAUAAUCUCUUGAUAAAUAUAAAGAUGUAUAGAUUAAAUUCAAAUAUUUCAUAUAUACCAUAAAACAUAUUUCGAUCGAAUAGUUAGAGUUCCCGGGAACAUGAUUUUGAUAUCGCCAAUCCUUCAAAGAUUCUAUCUUUUAGGGAUUCAAUCUCUUAGGGAUUAUUACUUUCCAGUAGGUUGUAUAAUUCAAGUUCUUCCUUUAUUGCCAGACUAAUAAAGAACAUGAAAGUAGUUGCAUCUACCACAUGAGACUAUAUCUCUUCAAAAUUCAUUCCAUAUUGAUCUUUCUUUGGUGCAACGAUUCAUUUCUAUCCCACUUGCUUUAUACCUUCUAGUGUAUGGACGACUGGUCCAAAUACCUCUAUUUCACAAGAGUUUUUAUCUUUGUCUAUUGUUUUUUUCCUGAUUUCGCCAAUUAUCUCUUUGUGUACACUUUUCAAUAUACUUUCUUUUAUGAUCAUAUUUCUUAUUAAUCAUAUCAACUGUCACUUUGCAUGCAAAAAUAUCUUUUGCUUAUUGGUUCCAUUUUGUUUCAUACAUGACAUAACAUAUCGAGAUCUCUUCAUUGUCAUAGGUACCUGAAUUUCUUUCAGUCAUGUUUAAAAUCUCUUCCGGAGAUCAUUCAAAAACUAUAUUUCCUCGUUUUGACCAUUGUCAAUAUAUGCUCCUUUUCAUUUACGAGGAUUUUUAUCUUUGGAACCAACAUGUACUAGCAGUUUGAUAUUGUUCUUAUAGAACAUCAAUUCUUAUUGGAGCAUUUACAUCUAGUAUAUGUGACUUGAUCACUAUUUAUCUAGGUCAGUAAAUGUGUCUGGCAACAGCUUUACUAAGCUAUCUUUGUAUUAUCUUUUGGACUUCAAUUUCACAUUCACUUUAGGCUGAGGAUCAAUGAUAAUUCAUUUCAACUUAUUUUCGUUUCCAGCUGUUUAUUUUCUCCUCUUUAUGUUGUAAAUACUAAUUCACUUUUAGCAUCCAAAUCGGGCCUUACUUAUAUCUUUCAUGGAUGGCUCUAGAUUCUUAAGUAUCAAUGACGAUUCAUAUCCAACAUAUAAUUCCAACCUCAUUUGAAAACUCAUCUUAAUUUAAGCUCUAUGGUGGAGCAAUUGGAAUGUAUAUCGCAUAUCAACAUUCUUUGAUGGAAAAUGGUUGGUUUCUGACCCAAUACCAAUGAAGGGGAGAACCAAUGAUUACUUGUUAGCUUGAUGCAAAUUAGUGUUGCUCAAAUUUUUUAACACUAAUCCCAAUGAUUUUUCUAUAGUCGUCAAAGACUUUAAGAAGUGGAUUCACCAGUAUUAUAAAGAUGCAUAGUGGGUGAUCAGUCUACUAACAUCUUCUUUAUUCAUGCCAAUAACUUCAUUUGGCUGGUGAAAACCGUAUUACCAUUUUAGCUUAUGAGCAAACAAUAUAUGUGAAAUCAUUCGCAAGAAUCUUCUGAUUCUUCAAUGAAUUUUCACAUAAAUAUUUAUCUAUCUUUUUGCAUCAUUACUGAACCAAAAUGGUCUAACUGGUUCAUACCGCAUGUUUUGUUAACUUCUGGUUUACUAUAUAUUUAUCUCCAUCACACUAAUCUUUGUGUAGUACAAUAUAUAAGAGGAUAUAGAUACUUUUUUCUAAAAUACUUAUACUGCAUUGAUAAAUAUUUAUGAUUUGAAAUGUAUAUAGCAUUUCUUUUGCUUAUUGUCUCAAAAUAAGUGUCUCAAAAUUCCAGAGAUUUACUUUGAGAAUGAUUCAUCAAUCUUAGUUUUAGUGCAAACAUAAUCUUCUGGAUGAUUCACUUAUCAUAAAAUGUGAGAUUCUUUAACUCUUCCCCUCGAAAUGAUAUUACUAUGGGUUUAUCAAUCUGGAAUGAAUCUCAUUUUUUUGAAUCCACAACAUACCCGACAUGUGUCAUGUAUUCUUUCUCAAAUCCUUUUAACUUUUGAGACUUAUAAGAAUAGAAUACCGUAAGACCUUUAAAUUUCAUUCUUAGAAACUUUAAAUUACAUUCUUAUGUACAGUAAUACUAUGUACUCUUCUUUAUAUAUCUUCCGGAGCAUUCAUAUAUCUUCUUCUUGAAUACUCUGUAAGCUUUAUAUUAGCUUAUAUUGUACUCACAAUAAUUUUCUUUCAUCUUUACAUGAAUGAACAUAUCUCUUCUUUAUUACCAUGUUUAAUUUCUCAACUUCAAGUGAAAGUAUGAGUUUUAUAAAAAAAACUCUUUGGAUCUUGACAUCGUUUAUGUCCAUGUUCAUGUUUACAACCACUUUUAUGUUCAUUUUCUUGACCAAUACUAUUUUUGUGCUAUAGUCCUAUUCUCUUCCGGAGAAUGGAUCAUAAUCAACUAGACUUGAUUUAUGAUCUUACAUCAAUAGCUCAUUCUUCUUCUUUUUUUUGAGUCUCAGGGAGACAAGAUACAAAUAUAAACUUGUUAAUCUCUUUUUUUCAGUCAUGUGUCUGCUGAACAACAUUACUUGUAUAAGAGAUUAUAUUUUCUAAUACAUAUGCAUCUUUAAAAAUUUCUUCAAGAAAAUUUACUUUUAAACUUAACAUUCAACAUAGUUGGAUUUAUUUACAGACUUCAGGUCUUGUAAUUUUUAAAUGCAAAAUACAUAAUGAACUUUAGGUAAUCACUUCAGGUGAUUAUACCUUCUUUGGAUUUUCUCCAAAACUCAUGGUUUUUUUAAGAUCAAGCCUUAAGCUUAAAACCCACAUAUAUAAAUGGUAUUGAAAUAUGAUAAUAAAAUUAUUUCACGUUCUAUACAGAUAUGUAUUAUCACAAACAUUUUAUUAAGAAAUAAAUAAUACAUAUAGUAAUUACUUCAUUCAUUACUUUUUUUUAUUACUAAUAUGCUAUUUAACAAGGUUCUUAACCACGCAAUCAAUUUACUGAAUAAAGUUUAUAUCAUUUGUGCCAACUUUUACAUAAAUUACUUUAUUUAAUCCAGAUUUAAUUAACCUUCUAAAUAAAGCAUACAAAUAAAAUACUUAUCUUGAAGAACGCCCGGAGGUCGGUGAUCCAAACACUCAUAUUUCAGGCAGUUACAGUCUUCUCUUUGAUAAAUAAUUCUGAAAGACUUAAAAUUUGCUCAUACAAAAUAUGGCAAUUAUGCAAAAUCAGAAUACUAAUUAUAAUACCAAUAAAGUGAAUACUAAAUCAGGCAGAACAAUGACCAAUUGUUUACAAAAACUUAAAUGGUUCAAAUGAGUAGCCAAUGAACAUUGAACCAACAAAAUAAUAAGACAAACAAUAAUUAUGCUUAAUUAUGCAAGUAUGGCUAUUACAUUCGUAAACAUUGAUAUUUGUAAAACCAUAUAUCUCGAGUAAAGUGACUUCGUUUGCUAAAAAGAAAUUUUACUAAUAUUAUAUCUAUUCAUAUAUACACAUAAUAUAUUGCAUGCACUCAACGAUAAGACUUUUACAGUAUUGUAUGCACUCAUAUAUGUAAAUAAUAUAGUAUAUGCAUUCAACCGUAACAAAAAUAAUUCGUAGGUUCUAACUUUUAGUUCGCAGUUUCAACAAUCAAAUAGUUAAGUUAGCUAUUGGUUAUAAUUACAUGUUGUAUGAAAUAACAGUGGCAAUAUGCAACCGUAUGAAAGUAUAGGUUAAUAACAAUACAACAUGUUAAGCGUAGAUUUAUAGCAAUACUACGAAUGAACACUAUCUUGUUUAACAAUUAAGUGAUGACAUGUGAAACAUAUAAUAAAAUCUAAAGCAACCACAACCGAUUAUGAAAUCAAACACAUACGAAAUAAAAUAUGAACAGAUUGAGCAUUAGCUUGUAAACGUUGACGAGAUCUCUGAUCAAAUGAUUCUCUUUUCUUUGGAACAAGGCCAAAUCAGUAUUGUCGACUAAAGCUCAUAAGCUCAUAAGUGUGUAUGAAUCCACUCUUACAAACCAUGAAUUGAUAUAAACAUGAUUUGAAGAAAGAUUAGACAUAGACUAUAACAGAAUAAAAAUCUAUAUUUAUUAGCUCAAAGUUGCUUGAGUUUAGUGCUGAUAACGUGUUAUAAUUACAGAAAAAAAGAAAUAGGAAUUUGUUUGUAUUAUUCUAUGAAUAAUGAGUUCUUUAUAUAAGAUUACAAUAGAUUGGAGACAAGGUAUAACUUGCAAAACAAGUAGAUUUGACAAUCAAGUAAAUCUAAAACUUUUCAUAUGGACAUCACGUAAUAUUCAUAACAAAUCAACAUUUGUCCAAAAAAUGGGAAAUAUAUAUAAUUAUUGAAUAAUUAUUUAAUAAAUAAAAUAAUAAUGAUAUAGAAUAUAAAAUAUAUUAAAAUAAUAUAAAAUAUAUUAACCUAAUAUAUAUGAUUUAAAAUUAAUUUUCUUAAAGCGAAAUGUGUUUGAUUAAGUGUGAGUUUAAUAAAAUAAGCGAUACAUAAUAAUAUUUGAUGUGUGAAAAAUAUUUUACGGUUUUGUUAGAUAAAUAUUAAAAAUAGUGUGAAAUAUAAAAUUUGGUUUCGAUUCUUGGUUUCUAGAAAUAUAAGAUUUGUUCAGGUAAUUGGUAUGGUCCAAACCCGAACCAACCCAAAAAAGAGGUUUGAUUCGGUUCGGUUCUUCGGUUCUGGAUAAAUGUACACAUGGUUAUAUAUCCUUAUAUUUAAUAAAUUUUGUUUUGUUAUUAUUUAUUAUUUUUAUCUUUGUAAUUACAUAUUUUUAAAAAUAUUUCUUAUAAUUAUUAACAAGUUCAGUUUAAAUAUCUAUGACGUAAAAGUAAGUAAAGACUUAUUACCUAUAAUAUAAGGUUUUAUAGUUCUGUUUUACAAAUCUGAUUAAAAUAAUGUGGUUUGAAACUUUUAAGAGUAUAAUUGUCAAGUAAAUAUUAAUAACAAUAUUUAUCUAUAUUUCAUCACUGCAGAAUUUCGUGAACGGCUACGUGGAGAGUGCGUUAUUUAUACCAAAUGUGUUUUGCAAAAUGGUGAACAAACAAAAAAAUGUUGUUUUUGUUUUUGACAAGUGCGUUUUUUACGUAAAAUAUGUCCCGUUUUAGCAUAUUUGUGUGAAUGGCAAUUUAGUGUGUUUUAUGUUCAAUAACUACAAAUACGCACAAUGUGCUACAUUUGAAAUAUGCAAGAGUCAAUAAAUACACAUAUACAUAUUUGUAUGUAUGAUAUAACUUUUACAUUAAUUAACUAAAUCAAAUAACUCUGACAACAGGUAUCUCACUAAUUAGUUAGGUAGUACCCUCUCCAACAGAGUCAGAACAUAUACGGUAUAAUAUUUUGCUAAAUUUUCACAAACCAAAUGGUUUUUUAAGAAAACAUUGUUUUAUGCAUGCACUUUUACAUUAUGCAUGCACUUUUACACCACAUAUUGUCUACCGACUUUGCUAACUGAAUUUUUAAUAAACAUUUAUUUGUAAAAUAGUACACAGAAAAGUAUUUAGUAAAGAAUAUAUUAUGGUUAGGAAUGGUGAAAGUUAAUUCGCAGAAUUUACUGCAGAAUUGUCAAAACCGCAUCAUGUUUACCAUUCGCAAAUUUCUUUUUUAAAUAUGCGGUUUUCAAAAAAAAAAGUAAAUACAAAACCGCGAACGCCAAAAUUGCUGUGUAAAGUAGUGGUUUGUUGUCCAAAUCCGCACCACAUCUCAAACCUAGCGUUUUUAGAAAAAUGAACUUAUUUAUUGAAAUUUAUCUUUUAUACAAUAUAUAUUUACACUGUAUUUAGUGUCUAUUCACAACUUCAUAUAUUUAAAUAAAACUGCAAUUGUACCGUACCGCACUUCAAUUCUGCACGAACCGCAGUUGCAUCGUACUGCACUUUAAUUUCAUACUGUUUUUAUUACCAAAUCCGUUGUCGUCAUUCGAACCCUAUAUAUAUUCUUAACAUAAAACAGAAGUUUUAUUGUAAAGUCUAAACUUCACCGUCAAAACACAGCUACUUAUGUCGGUGACUCUUCUUCUAUCACCCUUACAAGAAAAAAUUACUAAAAAUACUCUCUCUUAACUCUCGUGCCCCUCAUCCUUCAGUAUUUUUUUUAUAAGCCUUAUCGGCUGAUCCAUUAGCCCCGGGAGGAACACGAUUAGUGCUACAAAGUGGACUAACCCGAAAGCGUACCACACUGCCUGGCCCGAGUUUGGAAUACCUUCCGACUAAUGCCAUGAGGUGGACCAAUCAUCUGUUAUGGCCCAACAUAUAAACCACUUAAGCCAAAACCUAAUCCCAGACUGGCCAAGUUGUGAUAUUUCUCAUCCUUCAGUUUUAUUGCAGCAUAUUCUCCACGCUGCUAUCAUAUGGCAACGCACUGAUCGUCUGGCCAGUUAACGCACUUUUCCGUGAAAGAGAGAAUAAUAUAUAAUCAAAUACCAACCAACGUUAUAAAUGAAUGAUUUUUUUUUGUCACAGGAAUGAAUGAGUAUAAUACAGUAAAUUUUAUAUUAAAAAGAGGCUCAUUAUUGUUUGUUUUUUUCAUUAACUUUUUUUUAAAUUUAUCUUUUAUAAAUCAACCCGAAAGAACGGGAAUUCAAGUGUCGAUUACAAGCUUGAUUUGAACAAAAAUUUUUAAAUCUAACAUUACGACACUAGCUUUGUUUGCCCACCAUAUCGACACAUUCGGCUAGAGCGCUCUGCUGUCUUCAUAAAUCAUUAACUGUUCUCUGCCACCGAUGAUAACCACUUAAAGGGUGAGGUUUACCUUGUUGCCUCGGAUGCCGGUCUUUUCGUGUCAUCAACGGAGUAGCUAGUCUCUGAUGAUCACUUCAAGCUUGCUUUCUACACUGACAUUAAGCGCUAACCCGAGUGGAAUCAGAGAUGAGAUAGCAUACCAAUGAAGCCGCCUAACCUCGCAACACCAACGGGAAGGUGAAUGGAACCUGCCAUAGCCAUAGCCAAAGCCACAAACACACUCCACACCCACCGGACAAAGAUAGGUCGCAAUGGUGGCAAUUCAGGAACAAGUUGACUUCUAAACCUGCAAAAGAAAACAGAGAACAAUCUGCCAGACCAUCCAAGAGGAAUCCCUGACACUGGGAUGAUCAUUCUCUAGACAAGCCUCCAAGCCACAAAACAAACCAGUCUGACUCAACCAGAGAAGCUGCGCGACAACCUGAGAAGGAUAAGAGAACCUUAUCCGAUCAACCUUUGCGAUUCAGACAUCAAAACCCGCUGGAGAACGAGACGAAGUAACAAAUUUGGAAAAAGAAGUGUCCAUGCCUUGCGCGAAAAGGCUAGACCAUCUUGAAGUCUAAACCAUGAGGAUCACGAGCAAAAAUAGAGCAACCGCCGGAAUGAAUUUCCUCUGCCAUAGACGACAGUAUAAAACUCUAGACCUUAAGAUGCACACGAAAACCACAGGGAUGAGAUGACCACACACCACUGAGAACACGCCGACAGUGCCAGAUCACCAUCUCCUUUGAGCACCAGCCAUUCCAAAAGCCGAAACAAGACACCAAGCUUCGACAGACAGGAACGCCGAUAGACUCCUCUCCACAACGAAGGAGACCUUCGGAAAAUAGCAUCAAGAAGAAGACCAGAGGAGAGAGCCCGUAUCGUCACUCACGCGCCACCACUGCCGGAGACAAAACCCAAAUCUGGAAAAGGAAAAAACAGAUUUGUUGUGUCUCCACCUUCAAAAGCCGACUCUAUCACCCCCCGGGAGGAUCUAGGGUUCCAACUUCAAAGCCAUACCAGAGAUUGCACAUAUCGGAGAAGAGAAGAGACAAGUGGCUAAAGCAAAGGAAAAAGGAGAGGAUGAGGAGGAGGCGCCUCCGACGCCGGAGCAAGACGGAAAGGAAUUAGCUUUUACUUGUAGAGAUGGAAGGGAGAAAGAAGAGAGAGGAGAGAAUCAGUGGAUUAUGUAUUUUGAUUUAGGCAAAUGCAUGAUUUUUUCCAUUAACUCUUCUCUGUUGCUACCUGUCUUUCUUUUUGUUCAUUCCCAUUUUUAGAAAAUGAUUAUCUUUGUUUGUGUAUUGGUCUGGAAAGCAAUGAGUGCUUCGUAUAAUCAAAUAAUGUUCGUCUGAAGCUUCAGAUUUGCUUCUUGUUUCUGCAAAGUAGUUGUGUUCUGCUUUCUUGCUUCAAUAUUCUACUUUUGGAGUUUGUGAGUAAUUAAGAGUGAAAAAUGCUGGAAGUUGAAAGUACCAAUGCUCUGUUUUUUCCGUACGAACAUUACUUGUAAUAAUCUUCUCCGAGAGCUUCGGGUUUGUUCUUCAUUCCUCUUUAUUUUUUUCUUUUUAAAUUGGUUUUUUUUUCAAGAUAGUUUGUAUGGAGAAAAUGAUUAUUUUUUUUUACUUUAUGAUCUUUAGGUCAUCUUGAGUUUACUAGUCUUUUGUUUUUCAUUAUCAUUUCCUCUCUAGGUCAAAGGGUUCCUGUUUUUCAUCAUCAUUUCCGCUCUGUGUUUCUUUAUCUUAUAGUCACCUUCCCAGUUAUAUCUCAGUUCUUGGAAGUUUUUUUAUUUUUAAAGUCUACAUGUUACUGUUGAUGUUCUUUGGUAACUUAUGUUUUAUGUAGGCUAAAUUCAUGUGUUAAAUGGCGUUUUUUUUCUUGGUGUAUGAAACAGAAAAUAUGGGUUGAGAUUGGCGAGAGUGAGGCUGAGAAAGACAGGAUGCUGAUGGAACUGGAGAGAGAAUGUCUUCAAAUCUACCAAAGAAAAGUUGAUGAGGCUGCAAAUUCUAAGGCACAGCUUCAUCAGAUUGUAGUAUAGUGGCAAGUAUUCCCGCCUGUCACGCGGAUGACCCGGGUUCGAUCCCUAGCAACGGCGUCAAUUUGAUGAUAGGAGUUUCAAGGCUCCUAAUCAAAUGUUGUAAUAUAAAGAUUGUCGAAUCAGUUCUAAGUGAUUCUAAAGCAAAGGAAAUGCAAGACCAUGCUUAAUCUAAGUGCUAUCAAGUUAUGAGAUGAUUUUUGACUAGAUUACUACUAAAAUGCAAUAAAUGAUAAAGCUUUCUUUCUCAAUAUGAAGCAAGAGGACUCAUGGGGCUAGGCAUUUGAUCUUGGGUGAUGUAGAUCCAAUCUAGAGGUGGCAAGCUAUCAAUCAAACACUUUCCUUAUGCCUAGACACUUAGCUAAACAAGCUCUAUGUCUAGAUGAAUGUUCUUUUGAUAAAGCAACUCAAACAUCUAAUCUCUUAGGUUGAAUGUUACUAAAUCAAACAUGGAGAACAAGUCUAAUAGCAAUCUUAACUCCUUUAGCAACUAAUCUAUUAGGUAAAGCAAGCUAAAAGCAUUGAAGAGUUGGUUAAGGCAUUUCAAAAUACACCUUGUGGGCAGGAAAUGCCUAGAGAUCUAUUUUAGUAUGAUCAUGACUAAAAUAACAUUGAGAACCCUCAACAAGCAAGGAAACAAGCAGAUCUAUCAAUAAACACCCUAGAUCUUCUCUAAUCACCCUUAAUUACCUUAGCCCAUAAAUCUAAGAUAACCUACUCACUAAUAAACAUGAAUAACCCCAAAAUCAUGGAUGAUUCAAAGUUAAUGAUUAGAGAGCUAGAUAAUCAAGCAAAGAUUAGAUCUUUGAACUAGAAGUUCUUUUUGAAUAGAUAGAAAUUAAGAUAAUUCUCAACUUUGUGAGUACAAGAGUAUUUAUAUGUCUUUGGUAAACCUAGUGAUUCCAUUUAAAAAAUCUAAAAUACCCUUUAAAAACAUUAAAAUUCGACUAAGACAAAGAUUCGACCCGUUGAAAUCGCCAACUCCAAUUCGAGUCACUCUCCCCGCGUUGGACCGUCGUUGAAACUCUUUUGUCAUGCGAGCGGGUAGGCGAACCCGCGUGCCCCAACCCGCUUCAGGCCGUCGAGAGCUUCUCUUCGUGGGCGCGGCAAGGCUGUCCCGCGUGCCUUCAACCCGAGUCGAGGACGUCGACGCAUCUUCCUGGCGGAUGCACGUUAAUGACUACGGGGUCACGUGCCUCCGAUUAAUUCUAGAUAAUAUUUGUUUCCAGCCUAAACAUUAUCACUUAAUUUGCUCAGUUGCUUAUAGUGCCCCCAUUAAAUUUUAGAGCGACAGUUUGAUUCUUCCGUUGUACGUCUAUUUUUUUUUACAUUUUCCUUCUUUUUUCUUUCAAUUUUAUUUUCUCAUUUCAUCGAGUAUUCCAUCGAGUAUUAGACGUAAUGUAUGGAUGUCAUCUCUUCGUGUAUUACUUUGUUACCACGUUUAUGUAGAUUUUUUGUUUGCUUUUUUCAACUAACUAUUUCCUUUCUAUUUUGUUUCAACAACUAAUCUAACUCAUUUUAUAUAUUUACACUAAUUUACACUACUAGUAAAUUUAACUAACACCCUUGGAUAAAACAUUUAAACAAUACAAAACAACUAAAAUAAUUUUAAAAAUAAAUAUUAAAAUCCAAAAUCUUUUAAGAUUUGUGUUUAGUUAUAGUUUAUGUAUGCUAUAGGAUACCAAUUUAAAUGUACUAUAUACUUUGAACUUACUUUUGGUAGUUUAUUUUAAUCAUACAUAUUAUUUAAUCUUUAUAAAAAAUAUGUUAUUAAAUUAUAUAUAUUAUUUUAAAUAUUUGUGCCCCCGAUCCAAAAAAUUUCUGGAUCCGCCAUUGGGUCGACGUAUCUUCCUCUUCGUGCGCGUGGGUUCAGCUCUGGUAAGGCUGUGCUCUGCUGCGUGCCGGCUUCGUCUUCGUCGAGUUCGUCAUCAGCUUCACACCGUCGUGGUCAUCAGCUCCACGAUUCAAUCUCCUCCAAGCAACCGUGAAGCACCGUCAAAGUCGUCUCCUCCGUUGCCGUGCUUCUGUCUUUGCCGUCGGGAUCAAGCCUCACCGCCGUCCGUCGGAAUCAAGUCUCGCCGUCGUUCGUGUUGAAGCCAAGCUCUCGAUCUCCGCGUCGUGGCCGUGCUCUUCCUUGCCGUGGUAAUCUCUCCGUCGUGCUCUCAGCCUCCGCCGUCAACGGAAUCGACAGUGCUUCAGUCGCAGGUGAAAGCUCGAGGAGCAGCAAUGGUGGAAUUUGGGGGUUUUGCACAUCUGGCCCUUGAGGUUUCAGAAAAUUACAAUUUGACCCCAAAACUAUCAAAAGAGAAGAAAGGUCCAUCGGAAUCAACCCCAAAGUUUCCAAUCUUGCAUUUAGCCCAGGCGAAUAUUCCAAAUUUGCAACGUUGGUCCCUGGAUUCUUGUUAACAUCACAGUGGACCCAAAACUUUCAAAAUGUACAAUUUAACCCUUGAAUUUCGCCCCAAACUUCCAAAUGAGCAUUCCAACCCCUAUGAUAUGCAAAUGAGUAUGCAAAUGCAACACAAAGACCUAAAUGAAACCUAAAAUGAUCAUAAUAAGCUAAAAAGUUGAAUCUAAAACUUAUUAAAAUCAUGAGAUAUCAGCUAUAGAAGCAGAAGUUGCUUCUCUAAUGGCUGCUCUUGGAGUGUUGAACAUCAACUCACCGGUAAGAGCUAUCUUCAUGAUUUAAAUUGUGAGUUUUAGCUUUCAACUGUAGCUCAUGCUAAUUCAUCUUGCAUUUUGAUAUAGUCAAGAUAAAAGUGGAUAAAAAAGCUCCAAAUCAUUGAAAGAAAAGCUUGCAGCUGUGACCCCCUGCUGUUCAAAAGGUAGCUUCUACAUGUUUGCAUUAAUAUCAUUCUUCUCUUUCAUAUUCCUAUACUGAAGGUGCCUUCAAAUGUGCAGCUGAAGGAUGUAGUGGCUUCGCUUUUCGAGCUAUGGAAUCUGAUGGACACACCACAGGAAGAGAGAACUAAAUUUGGUAGAGUUACUUAUCUUGUAAGAUCAUCUGAAUCUAAAAUCACUGAGCCAGGCAUCCUUUCAACCGAGACUAUUGAACAGGUUUUGUAAUAACACUUAUGUUAAUGUCUUUAUAUUAUUAUAUAUUCUCAUUCUUGGUCUAAGUUUCUUGUUUUUGCCUUUCUAAUAGGUGUCUGCGGAAGUGGACUGCCUCAGUAAACUGAAAUCUAGCAAAAUGAAGGAACUGGUGAUGAAAAGAAGGUCCGAGGCUCCGAGCUAGAUGAUCUUUGCAGACUAACUCACAUUCAACCUGAUACAAGCACUUCAGCUGAGAAGUCAAGUGCAUUAAUAGAUUCAGGAUUAGUGGACCCUUCAGAGCUUCUUGGAAACAUCGAAAUGCUAAUAAAUAAAAUAAAAGGAGAAGUACAGAGCCGAAAAGAUAUCAUGGACAGAAUAGACCGUUGGCUCGCUGCAUGUGAAGAGGAAACUUGGUUGGAAGAAUAGAAUAUGGUAUGAGCAGCUAAAAGCUUGAAACAUGUAAAGCUUCUAAAGGAUGUGUUGUAAAGAGUGUUUCUUUGGUUUCAGGAUAUGAACCGGGAUAAUGCUGGAAGGGGUUACAAUCAAUAAGAUCCCCAGUACUAGUUAUCACAAAGAGAAAUCCCCUCAAAUGGUUUAAAUCAUGUUUUAUGACAAUAUUGGCAUACAAUCCAAAACACCAUUAACUAAAAUAAAAUAAAAACAAUUUUUAUUCUAUAUUUGAGUUUAGUGGUUAGGGUUUAUGGUUUAAUAUUUAGGGAGUGAGAUUAGAAUUUAGGAAUUAGAUUAAUUUAGUUUUUUUUCUGGGCAAAAUGAGUGCUAGCUAUUUUGGACAUUUUAUCAUUAGAUCUUUACUUUGUGUUUCAAAAAAAAAUAUAUAUAUAUAUAUAUAUAUAAUAUCAUUAGAUACUAUUUUUGAUUAAAUAAAAAUUAAGUGUAUUUUGAAGAUUUUUCCUUAAACCAACUAGAUAACCAUAUUUUAUUCUUUUGUUUUUUGUUUUCUGCAGCAAUGGUUGACAACCUAAUCAAGAAAACAUUAGUUUGCGAAAAUGACGCGCAAAAGUUAUUUCUAUAUGAUGGUGUUCGACUGGUUAACAUACUAGAAGACUAUAUACCGACAAGGAAACAACAGGACGAGGACAAGAAAAGAUACCGGGUUUGUCAAGGAAACACUCUCUUACAGUUCUAGAUUUUUAAACUGGCUUGCCGUGACAAAGAAGGUAUAUACAUUCUUGUGUUAGGAUCAAAAUUAAGAAGAGGCAGGAUCUUUUGCUAACUCAAAGGGAAUCCAUUUAUGGAUCAAAACCAAGUCCAAGAAGAAGCAGCAGCUUUAGAAAGCCCAGCAUCAUCAACAAUGGGAACGGUUCCGUGCCUCCCACGCCACGUAGAAGCUCGGUCGGAAAAGCAACGCCUGGCCUUCUUCUGACCCCGAGAUCUUACUCGGGUCAUCAUCGCCAAAACGGAUAUUUUAAAGAAGUUAGGAGGCUCACUCCUACUCCUUUAAACUUUGUGGCUAUACAGAAGGAAGAUACUGUUUCGAGUACCUACCUACACAUCGAUUUAUAGCUCUGAGCCAGACUCGCCUCUCCAAGACUAACUUUGGCUAUCUAUUUCACCGGUAAGAGAAAUGAUCAAAACUUUUUUGAUGUGUUAGUUUGAUAAAAACUUUGUUUCUGUAGAGAUUGAUUUUAGAAUAUGGAUAUGUGGGGUUUGUGAAGUAAUCUUGAUAAUGAUGUUAUGGUAAAGAAGAAGGAAGCGAAGAAGAAGAUGAAGACUUGUGAAUACAGAAAGUGACUUGACUUGUUAGGAGAUAUGGAGAGAUAAGAGUAUAAAAUAAAACUGAAUCUGUUAAUAUUCUUUAGUGGUUACAAAUUUUUAAUCUUAUGGUAAGAGAUGCUACUUCUUGUCGUGUGAAAGUAAGUGUGUGCAUGGUUUUAGUUAUGUGUACGUAUUUGUUCAUAUGUCUACGUAUUUUUUGAGAUGUUAAGCUGUGUUCUUCCGGCCACGCACUAACAUACUAGCAUGAGCGUUCCGUCCGGGUAAUUCAGUCUUUGGUUACAUUAGUUCAAUCAAUUAACCACGUGCUAGUGGUCAGGUGGUAGCAUAGCGUUUCAAUGUCGCUAAGCAAACUGAUUUCGAAUCCGACUAUACUCAAAUAUCUCUAACACGUGACCACCAGUGAUUUGACAUUUUCUCGCCGGGAAACAGUUUACCGUUUUUUUUAGUUCAAGCAAUUUUUUUCUAAAUUAGACAAAAUAAAAAGUUUAGGUUCGGUUUGCGGUUAGUUUAGCUUUUGAAAAACAUUGCCAAAAUUUAUAUCAGUUUUUCAUUUCAGGCUAAGUUUAGUUAAAAUUUUGGGUAAUCCCAAUUAGAUUUGAUCUGUUGGUUAAAAAAUUUGGUUAGUUUGAAACAUGGCUAGAUAUAUGAUUAAGUUAGUUUUUUAAAACAAAUUAGAAAACCAAACUAACCAACAGAAAACCAAAAAUUUUAAUUUGUCAAACUGAACCACUCAUAAGCAAAUUUGAGCUAAAAGUCAAAAUUGUCAAAAUUGUCAAAAUUCCAUGCCCACUAACAUCACGAAAAUAGAAAUUAUAACAAUUCAGUGAACCGAUUGCAAC